GGGAGUGUGGCGGAAUAGGCAUACGCAACGGACUUAAAAUCCGUCGCCGCAAGGCAUGUGGGUUCGACUCCCACCACUCCUACCA
rnacentral:tRNA from 1 species